AAGUUUUUUAACUUUUCUCAGCUCGCUUUUAAAUCUGCGUUUGUAAAGUGACUCAGAUAUAACAGAUACGGCUGCUCCAGUAUCAACCUCCAUUUUCAUUCGUUUUUCAUUUACCUGCACAUAGACAUAAUAAGGUUUCAUCACACCACUAGUCUCUGUUUUAAACAGUUCCAGACCCUUGUUUUUACUUUCCCUG